UCAACACAGACGCUGUGUAUCGAUACUUGUUGAAUUCCAGGUACUCGCGGAUGAGCUCGUUGAUUAGAAGGUUGUCGUGCGACAGCACAGGACGCGGCUCGCUCUGAUCGUCGAGCGCAUUGAACACCUCAGCUCUGAUCCGAGCCUUCAGCUGACCCAACACACCUCGAGACUCCAGGCUCUCUCUCAGAGCUGGGAGAGAAGAUAAGCUGUUGAAAAUGGGUGAUGCCUUUCAGUGCCCAGUCCAGGCCCUUGCGGUACUGCAGUCCAUAGUCUUGGAACUCUAUAGUGCCAGUCUGAGGCCAGGCCAGAGGCAGGGAACUGCCCUCCACGGUCCACACAGCCUGGCUUUAUUUUUUUUAAAUCUGAAAACGGAACAAUGUACACCUGUCACCACAUCAACUGGAUAUAUUAUUUUCCCAGAACAUGUACUGCAAGGUGAAUUUGUUGUUUCUAUCAAACCUAACCUGGUGGCCACAAAGCGGGGGAAGUAGGAGGUCUGGUUGAAGUCGACCCUCUUGUUAGCCUGCACAAUGAAGCGGUGCUGUUCUCCGAAGGCCCGUAUGACACUGGCUCCCUGCACCGUCUCGUUGAAGUGGGUGUAGAUGGGCGAGCGGCUCACCGACUCCAGCCUCCGCAGCUGGCAGGAUGUGGCCACGUAGAAACUCUGUAAUGCACAACAGAAAAAUAAAACAUUACGUUUUAAUGAACCGAAAGUACCAAGAGGUGGUGUAUGUGUGUGGAAGUGGGUUUUCCACUCCAGCAUUUCUAGUAGAUUUACAGUAUGUAGCCUGCCAUUACUUAGCACUACUAUGUUAGCAGGUGGAAUACAUCACCACGCAAAACCAACAACUUGCAAAAUCUGCUAUUUUGGCUUUCAAGAGUCUAAAACUAUUAUUCUCCCACAAAACGGUGUCUCAGUUGGUUAGAAACAUACCUGAACGAAGGCAUAGAGAAUGGCGAGGGGCAGGAUGACGACCGCCGCAAAAGGUGUAGCCAGCAUGACGAUGAUACAGACUUCCAUCAGCUUGAAGAGGUAGCCCAGCAUCAUCUUGAGGCCGUCGGGGAUCAUGCAGUCGAUAGCGUCGAUCUCCUUGGCAAAACGGUUUAGGAGGUUCCCACUGGGGGUGGUCUCAAAGAAAGACAUGGGGGAGUGGAGAACGUUCUUCAGGAGGUCCAUGUGGAGGUGCCGGGACGCGAUGAUACCUCCGACCGAAAUGGCCACUGUGGUGCCGAAAAUAGCGAUUCCUGAAAUAUAAAAUAAACUGUUGUUAGGAUCCCUGCUGUUUGGCAACUGUGGUUUAUAUCAGAUACUGAAACUCUCAAAUCUCUCAGAAGGACUCUUGGAGUACGAGUACAAUGGAGGGUUAUAACAGAUCCAAAUAAACAUUAGUGGGAUUAAAGAUGGAAUCCACAUUAGGGGAAAAGCACCACUGUCCUCCCCAGCACCUUUGUUGUUAUUGUUUGUGUUUUGUGAGCGAAACGGAGUUGAGGUGUGUCAAGCAGCAUGGUAAAACAAAAUGCAAUAUAUAUUCUGCUGUUCA